rnacentral:lncRNA from 1 species
GUUAGAAGUGUGUUCAAAUAAUUUUACAUGAGACUUUAAAUUACGACACAACAUGAUUGAGAUUACAUGCAAUGAUCGGCUUGGAAAAAAGGUGCGCGUGAAGUGCAAUCCUGAUGACACAAUUGGAGACUUAAAGAAGCUUGUUGCAGCACAAACAGGAACAAAAUGGGAUAAAAUUGUCCUUAAGAAAUGGUAUACAAUUUUCAAGGACCACAUAACAUUGGAGGAUUAUGAAAUCAAAGAUGGAAUGAACUUGGAACUCUAUUAUCAAUAAACAUUUGUAAAUAUCUAGGUGUAAAUCUCAGUGUGUUGUAACCAAGCCACCUCACAUUAUUGCACUCUGUAAACACAAAGUAGGCACGAACCAAAUUACAGUAAACAAUGCAUUGUAUUACAGUAUAUAAGAUAUACUCUUAUUUUGUACAAAUGUGUAUGUCUUUAGAAAUUGUGAUCAUGAAAAAAUUGUGAGCAAAUUCAGGUAAUGUCAUCAACACUGCUUUUGUGCAUUGUUUUUAUUGUGAGAAUUGAUUAAUUUUUGCUAUUUUACUGCCAUAAUAUGGGGGAUGCUACUGUGUAGAAGGCAUUGAUGUAAUGUAGAAGCUUCAAUGUUAUGAAAUAGCAACAUAUUCUGUUACAUCUGUAUUCUUGAGUUUUGCAAUUGAUCUUUUGUGAGUGUACACAUGGAAUUUUGUUUUAUAAUUACACAUACAAAUAUAGGAAA